rnacentral:rRNA from 1 species
GUGAGGAAUAUUGCGCAAUGGAGGCAACUCUGACGCAGCCAUGUCGCGUGCAGGAAGAAGGCGCUACGCGUUGUAAACUGCUUUUAACCGGGAAGAAACCCCAGGACGUGUCCUGGGUUGACGGUACCGGAGGAAUAAGCACCGGCUAACUUCGUGCCAGCAGCCGCGGUAAUACGAAGGGUGCAAGCGUUAUCCGGAUUCAUUGGGUUUAAAGGGUGCGUAGGCGGAGCGUUAAGUCAGUGGUGAAAUCCUGCAGCUUAACUGUAGACUUGCCAUUGAUACAGGCGCUCUUGAGUGCGCUUGAAGUGGGCGGAAUGUGCCGUGUAGCGGUGAAAUGCUUAGAUAUGGCACAGAACACCAAUUGCGAAGGCAGCUCACUAAGGCGAUACUGACGCUGAGGCACGAAAGCGUGGGGAUCGAACAGGAUUAGAAACCCGAGUAGUCC